CCAUUGCUCCUCGUUCGAGCGCCAUUUGAGAGAGAGAGAGAGAGAGAGAGAGAGAGAGAUCCAAAGAGGAAGCUUCUGUAGGGUUUCCUCUUCUUCGAUUCGAUCGCUAGGGUUUCGUCUUCUUCGAUCGCCGCCGCCUCGGAUUCGCUUGGUGCAGGUCGGGAACGCCCUCGGAUCGCCGCCGCCGCCCCGUGAUCGCGCCCGCGUUCCCGCCUUGCACCAACUGAAUCGGAGCCGGAAACGCGAUUCCUCCGCCGCCGCCGCGGAUCUCUGGCUCGUUUGGAGCUCAGAUCCGAAUCGGAGAGAGAGGGGAGGAGAAUGAAAAGUCGAUUGGAAAAUGGAGCAAAUUUGGAAUUUGAUAGUCGGUGAAUUCACAGCCACAGGCAAAUCAAAAAGUUUUAAGUGUGCACACGCCCUGUAUGCAAAGAGAUUUUGAUUGUACACCAUUCACAAAGCUUGGCAAGUAGUUAUUGUCGUUGCUUCC